rnacentral:SRP_RNA from 2 species
GCCAGGCGUGGUGGUGGACGCCUGUAAUCCCAGCUACUUGAGAGGCUGAGGUAGGAGAAUCGCUUGAACCCAGGAGGCUGAGGCUGCAGUGAGCCGAGAUCGUGCCACUGCACUCUAGCCUGGGCAACAGAGCUAGACUCUGUCUCAA